UACAGAGGGUGCGAGCGUUAAUCGGAAUUACUGGGCGUAAAGCGUGCGUAGACGGCUAUCUAAGUCGGGUGUGAAAGCCCCGGGCUCAACCUGGGAAUUGCAUUCGAGACUGAAUAGCUAGGGUACGGUAGAGGGAAGCGGAAUUUCCGGUGUAGCGGUGAAAUGCGUAGAUAUCGGAAGGAACAUCAGUGGCGAAAGCGGACUUCCUGGACC
rnacentral:rRNA from 1 species